UCCGUAGGCGGUUUUGUAAGUCAGUGGUGAAAGCCCAUCGCUCAACGGUGGAACGGCCAUUGAUACUGCAGAACUUGAAUUACUAGGAAGUAACUAGAAUAUGUAGUGUAGCGGUGAAAUGCUUAGAUAUUACAUGGAAUACCAAUUGCGAAGGCAGGUUACUACUAGUGGAUUGACGCUGAUGGACGAAAGCGUGGGGAGCGAACAGGAUUAGAUACCCUGGUAGUCCACGCCGUAAACGAUGGAUACUAGCUGUUCGGAGCAAUCUGAGUGGCUAAGCGAAAGUGAUAAGUAUCCCACCUGGGGAGUACGUUCGCAAGAAUGAA
rnacentral:rRNA from 1 species